CCAUCCUCUUUCUUCCUCUGUCUGCCGCUUAGCAGCAAGGAUCCUGGACCAGGAGCUUAACCCCUGUGAGGCUUGGUUUCCUGGACUGGGCUGUGAUGUGGAGAAACUGCCUCUGAGAGUUGUCAGAAGGACUGAAACAGUGGUUUCCUGGGACUUCUGGAACAAAAGACCACAGGUCAGUUUGCUUCAUACAACAAAAAGUCUCUAGAAGUUCUGGAGUGCAGGAGGAUGAAUCCAGGUGUUGGUUCUGAGUGCACAUGUCUUUCGGGAGGCACUACUCACCCCAGCAGGGACAUCACUUUGCCAACAAAGAUCUGUCUAGUCAAAGCUCUGGUUUUUCCAGUAGUCCUGUAUGGAUGUGAGAGUUGGGCCAUAAAGAAGGCUGAGCACCGUAUAAUUGAUGCUUUCAAAUUGUGGUGCUAGAGAAGAUUCUUGAAAGUCUGUUGGACAGCAAGGAGAUCAAACUUGUCAAUCCUAAAGGAAAUCAACCCUGAAUACUCACUGGAAGGACUGAUGCUAAAGCUGAAGCUGCAAUACUUUGGCCACCUGAUGCAAAGAGCUGACUCAUUGGAAAAGACCCUGAUGCUGGGAAAGAUUGAAGGCAAAAGGAGAAGGGGAUGGCAAAAGAUGGUUAGAUAGCAUCACUGACUCAGUGGACAUGAAUCUGAGCAAACACUGGGACAUAGUAAAGGACAGGAGAGCCUGGCCAGCUACACUCCAUGAUGUUGCAAAGAGCAGUCAUGACUUAGUGACUAAACAAUAACAGCACCCCCACUACAACCACAUCCUCUGCAUCUUUGGGUAUGUUCCUUACCCAAUGCUGUGCCUUAGCAGUGACCUCAUCUGGAACUCGUGGUCACGCAUAGAAGCUCAAUUCAGAAAACAACAUAAUGCACAUAACACUCUCUGCACCAAGCCUAGCACGCUCAGUGCACACACAUGAAAGGGCGGGGCUGUUAUCCGCAGUAGCAGGAAUGAUAUCAGUGUCGCUGUCUCUCAGCCAGGAGCUCUGACAUACGGAGGGUGGGGCAAUGCAACCUCAAACAUCUGGACAACAAGACCAUGGUGCUUUCCAACUCAGGCUGUUUGGCAUCCUGUAGACCCCAGAAACAGAUGACAGAAUGUCAAGAUGAUUGACUACCCUCUUCCCUUUCCC
ensembl:lncRNA